ACAAAAUGAGCUAGCAAGUAGUGUCACUUUCAUUUCUCUUCCCACGUUGCUUUCUCUGUCUCUUUUCUUUUUCCUUCUUCACUAACCCAUUUUGGUGAAAAAACCAAAAGCAUGUUUUCAAAUUUCAAAUUCAAAAACUUCAAUACAAUCUUUAUCUUUGUGACUCCUCCUUUCUUUCUUCCAUUGCAUAUACAAGAUUCUCUCUCUUUUUUUUUUUUUCAUCCCCCAUCUCUCUCAUAACAACAACUCACGCACAACAACAAAGCUGGUAAUCUUCCUCCGUAUCAAAUCGGCACACCACCAUCUCAUCCUUUAAUAUGAAACCAAAAAUGCCGACAACGAUUGUUUUUCCGAGGCAAAAAAAUUGGUCUGAAACCCUAACAAAUUAAUCACGUCAAUCAGAUACAUGGAGUAACUUUGAUUUUGAUUUCAAGCAAAAUAUCAAUUGAAGCGGCGAUGUAUUGAAGUAACUUUGGUGAUCUUUGGAUUUUCAUGAAGGAAUGUUCAAAGGGCUUCUCAAAAAACAAGACAAGUAACAGUGAUUUUGAAUACAAGGAAAAUCAAUUGAAGCUGUAAUGGAAGGAACCGCCAUCAAGAAGGAAACACCGUCGGAUCUGCUAUUAGCAAGGACACAUAGCAGGAAUAAGUUCAAGUGAUAUUAUUAUUGUUAAUGAUUAUUUUUUAUGGUGUUUUGGUUUGAUGGUGUGCUUUGUGAUAGUUUUAGUUGAUGUUAGUUUUAUUGUUCUGAUAUUUAUAAGCCUAAGAAAAAUUAAGAACUCUCAAUCUCUCAUAUUUACAUGAAAAGAAAAAUCUGGUAUAAAAAAAUGUCAACCAGCUUUGGAUUAUGAAAAAAGAUGUUUCUCAUUAUUGUGUUUCAUUCAUUUUCGUAUUUCAUAUCAUUAUAUUUUAUUCCUUCAAUUUGUAAUGAUGUUGCUUCCUGCUCUACUUAGAUCUUUGCUUUAUUUUUUUGUUUUCAUGUGCAAUCAGAGGUUCUUGCUGCUCAUCAAAUUGAGGAUAAAUAAAGGUGUCUGCGAAAUGUACAAAUGUGCUUGGAUUGAAGCAUUAUUUUGGAAGAAGACCUGCUGGUUUACGAGCAAGGAGGCCUUUCAUGCCUUCACCAUUCUAUCCACCACAUGCUUACUGGUUUAUGAAAGAAUCCUACAUCCAUAUGAUAUGACAAGAUGAUCAAGAGAAUAGUUGAAUGGUUGUUCCAUAUGCUCAUAAGUAAGUAAGAUGCAUCUUAUUUUUUAGUUUACUUUAUUGAUAGAAUAGAGGUUCACCCAAUUUAUGGUAUUUAAGCUUAAUGUUAUAGAAUAAUUCAUUUUUUAGUAUAUAAUGCUUGAUUGAAGGUUUAUAGGCUUCAACUGCAAUGUAAGAUUAUAAGAUAAAUUUUGUGGAAUGUUGUAAGGUUGCAAAGAAUCUGCCAUUUAUUUGAUGUAAGGCUUAUUUUUUUAUUUUUUUUGAAGAAGCUAAAUCAUGUAAGGCUUAUUGAAAAGGAAUCAAAUGUGCUUCUAUUUGAUCGGGAGUAGUAUAAUCUCUCAUAUACCUUACUUUGAAGGGUGUUUGGUAGUCUAAGGUUUUGCUUUUAGUUUUAUCAUCACCAGCCCAUUGUCUUCUGUUAUAAUUUUGUCAUCAACUAUUUUUGACAUGAGUGUGGAAUGGUUGCAGGAAAGAUGUAAGAUGAAGGGAGGUUACAAAGGGAGAUAGCGCCAACACAAAUUGUUACAAAACAAUGAGAUAAUUUUGAGGAUUAUAUUUAGUUUUAUUAUAGUGUGUAGUAUUUCUUUGAUUUUCCUUUCCAUUACUUAAUUUCAUUUUAUUAUUACUACUACGUGCAAGAAUUAUAACUAUAGAGGACAUUAAGAGCAUACCACUAGCCUAUUGUUACUCCUACUGUCAUGAUAGAGAUUGUAUGGGAACUAGGCAUUGAAUCUUUUCUAGGCAUGUGAUCUAUUUGUAAUCUUUUUAGAUAUGAUUUGUAGCAUAACUAAAGUAGUUAAUGAUUAUGUAAAUCCAAAUAUUUUUCAAUGAUA